GGGCGUGUAGCCAAUGGUCUUAACCUUGCAAAGGUUAAUGAGGAGUGGUUAAUCUCCCGCGUUCUUCU
rnacentral:tRNA from 1 species